rnacentral:rRNA from 1 species
GACGAACGCUGGCGGCGUGCUUAACACAUGCAAGUCGAACGGAAAGGCCCUGCUUUUGUGGGGUGCUCGAGUGGCGAACGGGUGAGUAACACGUGAGUAACCUGCCCUUGACUUUGGGAUAACUUCAGGAAACUGGGGCUAAUACCGGAUAGGAGCUCCUGCUGCAUGGUGGGGGUUGGAAAGUUUCGGCGGUUGGGGAUGGACUCGCGGCUUAUCAGCUUGUUGGUGGGGUAGUGGCUUACCAAGGCUUUGACGGGUAGCCGGCCUGAGAGGGUGACCGGCCACAUUGGGACUGAGAUACGGCCCAGACUCCUACGGGAGGCAGCAGUGGGGAAUAUUGCACAAUGGGCGGAAGCCUGAUGCAGCAACGCCGCGUGCGGGAUGACGGCCUUCGGGUUGUAAACCGCUUUCGCCUGUGACGAAGCGUGAGUGACGGUAAUGGGUAAAGAAGCACCGGCUAACUACGUGCCAGCAGCCGCGGUGAUACGUAGGGUGCGAGCGUUGUCCGGAUUUAUUGGGCGUAAAGGGCUCGUAGGUGGUUGAUCGCGUCGGAAGUGUAAUCUUGGGGCUUAACCCUGAGCGUGCUUUCGAUACGGGUUGACUUGAGGAAGGUAGGGGAGAAUGGAAUUCCUGGUGGAGCGGUGGAAUGCGCAGAUAUCAGGAGGAACACCAGUGGCGAAGGCGGUUCUCUGGGCCUUUCCUGACGCUGAGGAGCGAAAGCGUGGGGAGCGAACAGGCUUAGAUACCCUGGUAGUCCACGCUGUAAACGGUGGGUACUAGGUGUGGGGUCCAUUCCACGGGUUCCGUGCCGUAGCUAACGCUUUAAAUACCCCGCCUGGGGAGUACGGCCGCAAGGCUAAAACUCAAAGGAAUUGACGGGGCCCCGCACAAGCGGCGGAGCAUGCGGAUUAAUUCGAUGCAACGCGUAGAACCUUACCUGGGUUUGACAUGGAUCGGGAGUGCUCAGAGAUGGGUGUGCCUCUUUUGGGGUCGGUUCACAGGUGGUGCAUGGCUGUCGUCAGCUCGUGUCGUGAGAUGUUGGGUUAAGUCCCGCAACGAGCGCAACCCUUGUUCACUGUUGCCAGCACGUUAUGGUGGGGACUCAGUGGAGACCGCCGGGGUCAACUCGGAGGAAGGUGGGGAUGACGUCAAGUCAUCAUGCCCCUUAUGUCCAGGGCUUCACGCAUGCUACAAUGGCUGGUACAGAGAGUGGCGAGCCUGUGAGGGUGAGCGAAUCUCGGAAAGCCGGUCUCAGUUCGGAUUGGGGUCUGCAACUCGACCUCAUGAAGUCGGAGUCGCUAGUAAUCGCAGAUCAGCAACGCUGCGGUGAAUACGUUCCCGGG